UCGUUGAUCGAUUCUUAAUUUACCGAGGUUCGUCUAGAUGUAUGUAAACAAAUCGUUUGUCAUUAACUGUUCGGUAAAAAAACGCCGAAAAAACUGUAAAUUAAUUCUGCCGUCAUGUGUCGUUGUCAAAACUGUCUCUUUCUGGUAUCUUCAAUGUAAAGGCAUCUCGCUUGAGCCUCCUUUCUCGCUCAUACAACCGUGUUCAAUCGUCUCGAGUUUAAUCGUGUGCUCCAUUUAUAACCACACAAGCGUCGCCAUUUUCGUCGGUUCGCGUGUGAAAUUGUGUGGCUUGCAUGUAUUAUGUAUUUUGGUGUAAAUGAAUGUAGCUGGUAACGUGGGCGAAACGAUAAUACCGCCGGCACAGAAAUUAUCCGAAGUGGCGGUCGUAACAAUCGUCUUCCGGGCGAUCACAACCUCCAUCAUCAAUAGCAGCAACAUUCUGAGCUCCAGCGAUCAUGUUUUCCGCAUAAUCCGGAAGAAGUGCUGUUUCUAAAUACCGGAAGAUUAAAUAAUAACACAACAGCGGUUGUGGUCAAAGCCAAAGAACGGAUUGUUGGACACAGUUUCGAGCACCUUUAAACCAGAACUUUCUGAAUUUGAUCCCAAAUCGCCACAGUGUGGUUCGCAUCCGGUAGCUGAUUCGGUUUAUGGGUGAAAGCAGCAGCAACAACAGGAGGAGCUGGUGGUGUCGGAUGUGAUAACACCCAUUAUUUCCAGCACAAUAAACAGCAACACCAGAAUGUCACUUCCCGCUCUCGAUUACUUUCUACAUGCGAUUGACGGUAAUCAACUAUCAUCAGAAUCUGGAUGGAGUAUCUGAUGUGACGAGAAGAGCACCCGGUAUGAGAGAGGAGGUCACGACAAUUGCAUCAAAACCCGAAUCUCGGCCACGGCUCAUGGUGGUAGGCAGCAUCGACCAGCCGGAGCUGUAACAUCGGAUUUUUCGUUAAUUGCCUGUAAGAAGCCUGCCUUCUAUGAACACCGAGCGUUCGCUAUUAUGUAUAUGUAUAUAGUAAUGAUUCCUUCAAGCUGGUGGAACUAGUAAAACUAUGUCCGACGAAAGGAAAAAAUACUCCAAAAUCCAUAUUCGGGAAUAAUCUCGUUCAAAUAAAGGCUUCAAUUCCAAAAUGAGAUUACUGCCUACUGGAUGGAAAACAGACUCAAUUUUUAACGAAUAUUGUAUUAUCUUGGUCUAGAUGUGCGGAGGCAUUGAGAAAUUAUAGCUAAAGCUCCCUGCAUCGCAUGUUAUCAAAUGGGAAAAAAUCAAACUACGGAUUUUCUGAACAAUGUGGAUUGGAUUGAAAAACAAUCCUCUACGGAAAAUAAAACAUGACAUCGAAGUGUGGAAGAUCGAAACGAUCGCCGAGAACAAAUGAUGCAAACCAUAUGUCGUAUCACUCAUACAAGGAUCAAGGAAGGACAUCUUUGUAAAAGAAAUC